rnacentral:rRNA from 1 species
UACGUAGGGGGCAAGCGUUGUCCGGAAUCAUUGGGCGUAAAGCGCGUGUAGGCGGUCCGGUAAGUCGGCUGUGAAAGUCCAGGCUCAACCCUGGAAGCCGGCCGAUCUGUCGGACUAGAGUCCGGAAGAGGCGAGUGGAAUUCCUGGUGUAGCGGUGAAAUGCGCAGAUAUCAGGAGGAACACCAAUGGCGAAGGCAGCUCGCUGGGACGGUACUGACGCUGAGACGCGAAAGCGUGGGGAGCGAACAGG